rnacentral:rRNA from 1 species
AGGAUGGGACUGCGACCGAUCAGGCUGUUGGCGGGGUAAUGGCCCACCAAACCAGUAACCGGUACGGGCUUUGAGAGAAGGAGCCCGGAGAUGGACACUGAGACAAGGGUCCAGGUCCUACGGGGCGCAGCAGGCGCGAAACCUUCGCAAUGUGCGAAAGCAUGACGAGGUUAAUCCGAGUGGCAUCCGCUGAGGAAGUCUUUUGCCGGCUCUAAAACGGCCGGUGAAUGAGGGGAGGGCAAGCCUGGUGUCAGCCGCCGCGGUAAUACCAGCUCCUCGAGUGGUCGGGGCGAUUAUUGGGCCUAAAGCAUCCGUAGCCGGUUCCGUAGGUCCUCUGUUAAAUCCAGCCGCUUAACGGUUGGCCUGCAGAGGAUACCGCGGGACUAGGAGGCGGGAGAGGCGGGCGGUACUCCACGUGUAGGGGUAAAAUCCUUUGAUCCGUAGAAGACCACCAGUGGCGAAGGCGGCCCGCCAGAACGCGCUCGACGGUGAGGGAUGAAAGCUGGGGGAGCGAACCGGAUUAGAUACCCGGGUAGUCCCAGCCGUAAACGAUGCGAGCUAGAUGAUCCAGUCGCAAAUCGCGAUUGGAGUGUCGCAGGGAAGCCGUUAAGCUCGCCGCCUGGGGAGUACGGUCGCAAGACUGAAACUUAAAGGAAU